CACAAAAGCUUCCCCAUUUGCCCCUAUCUCUCUCCCUCUCCCUCUCUUUCUCCUGUCACAAUUUUUCUGCCACCCAAAUCUUGCCUAACAGUAUCAAGAAUGCUCUGCCAUUAUUACUAGUAAAUGGUAUUAUCUUCAAAGCUGCCAGUAUUAUUCAAGCUUGAUGCUUGAAAGCAAAAUGUAGAAAAUAAAUAAAUAAAACAACAGCUAUAUUGAGGAAUGCAGAGAGAGAAGGAGAGGGAGUGUGUGUGUACGCGUGUGUUGAGCUGUUUUCCAAAGCUCAGUAUUUGACAAUUUGCCGGGCUUUUUAACUUUACAAGGUUUAUAAAAACAGGAGGCUUCAUUUGUAAUCUUACAAAGAUUUUAGGUUAACAAGCAAUUCUAGUGUUA
rnacentral:misc_RNA from 1 species